GGGGCCUUAGCUCAGAUGGGAGAGCACCUGCUUUGCAAGCAGGGGGUCAUCGGUUCGAUCCCGAUAGGCUCCA
rnacentral:tRNA from 1 species